GUAGGUUAGUGAAUAGAAUGGCAGAUUCCGGUUCUGUAGAUUACAGGUUUAAGUCCUGUCGGCACCA
rnacentral:tRNA from 1 species